CAUUGAACAUCCCCAUCUGCAACAGUAAUUCUGUUUCUUGGGUUUUUUUGUGCCGUCUAGGGUCAAAGCUGUGAGAGCCCUGCUCCUGCCUGUCACUUUUCAAGACCUUAGUUUGGUUUUGGUUUCUUGGAAAAGAGCACUUGCCCUUCCAGCAAUAUCAGAACUCUUUUCAUCUGGGCAAGAACAGCGCUGGGCUGCAUAUGACGCACUUGGGGGCAUGAGAGUCAACACUUGGCUCUCAGCAACUCGGAGGCCUAAAAUCUGCCAGACACAGGAGUGGAAACCUAGGUCCUCUGAAGAAAGAAAGCAGUGAGACCUUUUGAAGAUUGUUGCCUUUAAGGUACAAAAGAAGAGUGCCAGGCUGCUACAGAGGACCACAUUGAAAGCUUUACUACAGUCAAGGAAACAGCAUCAGCCUCACCCUACAUCUACAAAUGCCAGUCACUGCAACAUAGGCAGCAGUCAUAGACAUCAUCAG